AUGGUAUUUGAACAACGCUUUGGAUUGUAUAAUGAAAGGGUAGAAAAGCAAGCUUUUAUUUGCUUGGCCUCAUAUAGCAAUAUUUCUUGAUGAUGAAUACAAGACCGAUCAAAUUAACGAUGUCGCUUUAGGGAAUUUACUUUUUUUGAUUUGCAGUUGAUGAUGCUAUGAGCAAGUCAGAAAUUGGCUUGCCCACCACUCCAUGCAAGCUUGAACUCCUCAAGGAUGCGCUGGGUAUAAUCUAUUAUUGUUGUAGGAGACAACUUGUUAUGUUCUAAUUU